UUCACCACGUUGCCCAGGCUGGUCUCAAGUGACCCACUGCCUCAGCUUCCCAAAGUGCAUAGUCAUUUUUAAAGUACAGUUUAGGGAUAAUGUAUUAUUUCUAUUAGAGUUAUAACUUUAAGCUGGGAGAUGUUCAGUAACUAAGUUUGUGAAGCUAUUAGAAUGUUUAAGUGCAUUUGGUUUGCUAUGAGCUUGAUUUAUUAAAAGGAUAAGAGUAAUUUAAGUGUUUGACAAGUCUGGCUGUCUGUUUUGCAAAUGUUUCCUGUCAGGUAUUUGAAAUGCUUAAAAAGAAAAAUGAAGACAUUAAAUUAUAAUCAAACGUUAAAAACAUAAAGGGAAUUUAACUUUAAUAAAAAGCCUAUCAACAAUGAUACAUCUACAAAGAGGCAGACAUUCCAAGUUGGGAAGAUGGGGAGGUUACUUACCCGUGCUGCUCCCGAACCAAUUAACUAGCAGAACUUGUUUUCAAACAAUAAGAUACAACCUGGUACAGAAUGUUCCAACGCGGUGGGGGAGGGAUCACGUUUGCCGAUGAGGACUGCAAUGUUGGGACUAAAACCGUGUGUGAAACCUGAACGGCUCCAAAAUCAUCUGUUCCCUUCUCAUCUCUCCCAGAAGUGUCCGUGACAGUCGCUGUCAUGGAAGUCACCUCCCCAGCACCACAAGGGAGAGCCAUCCUUCCUGCAGGGCGGCCACGUGGCCACCUAGGCUGGUCCCGGGAGACCUUGGACCCAGGCUGGUGCCUGCCCCAGCUCCUGUCCCGAGACGUGGCUGAAGGAAACCCGAGUGAAGGCUGAGUGCCCCAUGAGGGACCCGGGCUCUGACACAGACAGACUGUCCCGGCUGGAGUCCAGCUCCUGGACGACCUGGGUCUCCCCGUUCUGCACUGGUAUCGCGCGGUGAGGCGGCGCUGAUCAGAACCUCAAAAGACCUGACCCCGAACACCGUCAUCCCAAAUCCUGAGCUCCUGAAAGAUCAAAACCUAACAUGUUGGUGUUCUGACCAGUUUCUCUGUGAAUGGUUCAUCUGCACAUAACUCAUAUCCACGUGACUGAAUGAGCACACCUGUGUGUCUGUGCUGGAGAAAAUGUUAUGAUCACCGACUUUAUUGGGAUGUCAGCAUUCAGAACUGUGUCCCAGGAUCGUGGCCCAGACCCACAGGGCAGGGGCGUGCACUUUUGAGGGUUCUGAAGACGACUCAACAGGGUGCCUGACCUGCUGGUAAGGACUCAGGAGACCUCACCUGUCCUCGUCACACUCAUGGAAGGGGACUCCAGAUCCCUGGCGUAGCUGGUCUGGGAACUGGGGAGGGAUGGGCAGUGCCCGGUAUAGGGUGCAACCUCCAGUGCCCACAUUAGCACGUCUGUUGCUGUGAGAUUCUAUCCUGUGGACACCUGUGGCUGUAACACACACCUUCCCACUGCUGUCACAGGAGUGAUACUCUUUCCGAUUCUAACAUCAGUGUGUGCACAUUUUGGGAAAACCAGCAAGUACAGAAGAAGAAUUUAGGCCGGGCCCAGUGGCUCACGCCUGGAAUCCCAGCACUUCGGGAAGUCAAGGCAGGAGGAUCGCUGGAGGCCAGGAGUUUGAGAUCAGCCCGGGCAACAUAGUGAGACCUCAUCUCUAUUUAAGAAAGAAAAAGACCACUGGUCCUCCCAGUGUUUACAAGAUUUUUCCAUUAAAACAGGAGGGAUCAUAAUGAGCGGCCUAACAAAGACAUUUAAAGACACGCCAAGAAGGGGCGCAGACAGGAGUCCUGAGAUGCAGUCAUGGGAACCCGCACCUGUUUUCCCGCCCUGGGCACCCAGCGUGGACAGGCUGGCCGGUGCCAGGGUGAGCAGGGCAGGCUGAGGUCUCCAGUGGGUGGGGACAGGUUAGGGGGCAGCAAUUCAGUGACCCUGUCCAGGACUGGGUCCCUUGCAGAAGGUGAGGUCAGCCAGGGGUGGGGGUGGUGGCUGUGGAAUCCGUUGUCUGGUCUAUAGGGGGUCCCCCUACCGAAGCCCUAACCCUCUCCCCUUCACCACCCCAGUGAUCUCCUGGCCCAGGCUGCUGCCUCCAGCAGCUCCCCAGCCCCCAGGACAGUCCUUCAGGACUCUAGGGGGAGUCCCGUCUACAAGGACGGCUCACCAGUCUCCCGCCACAGCCAGUGAGGAUGGGGUCCUGCAGCCGAAGUGGUGUGUGCCCAGUGUGGUGUCCCUGGCAGGCUGGGAGGGUGCCCCCAGCUGCCAGUUAGUGAGGCUGGGUUAGCACGAGGGCAAGGAGCUUGGAUUCUGGGGCUGACAGCCUGAGCUCAACUCCAGCGCCCCAUCUUGCUGGGGCUCCUCCGCCUGGAGGCGGCUCCUCCACCUGCCUCUGCCUCCGUUUCUGCAGCAGUUGCCUGCCGGACUCCAGCCCGAGGCGGGGGCCACGGCUGACCCAGCUGGAGAACGCCCCACUGGCCCAGUCAGUGCUGUCCUCUGCACCUGAUGGCUUCUCUUGGCAGGGAGGGCUCCCCCGCCCCCGGGCUCUGUGCCAGCCAGAGGUUCCGCAGGAGCUGCUCACUUCCUCCCGCCGGCAGAGGCAGCCUGCGGGGCGGCUCCAACCUGGAGAAACCAAAAUCAGGGCAAGUCCCUGGCUGCUUCCCUGGAAAGCCCCGACGGAGUCCCCGCUCCUUCCCGCCGGUUCUCAGGGUGCUUUAUUUCAGAAGGGGAUUUCUUCCUCCUGAGAAUCUGAUGGCCACAGGGUGCCUGUCACAUGUCCACAUCGGGCCCUCCUGGCUGUCACCAACUUGUCCAACUGUCAGAGGUGUUUGAACCAGAGCGACUCCGUCUUGAAUAGGGGCUGGGUGGAAUGAGGCUGGGGCCUGCUGGACUGCGUUCCCGGGAGGGUAAGGCAUUCUUAGUCACAAGACAGGAGGUUGGCACAAGAUACAAGUCACGAAGACCUUGCCGAUAAAGCAGGUUGCAGUAAAGAAGUGGCCAAAUCCCACCAAAACCAAGAUGGUGACUAGAGUGACCUCUGGUCGUGCUCGCCACUCAUUAUACACAAAUUCUAAUGCAUUAGCUGCUAAGAGACACUCCCACCAGCGCCAUGUCCACAAAUGCCAUGGCAACGUCCGAAAGUUACCCUGCACGGUCUAAAAAGGAGAGGAAGCCUCAGUUCUGGGAAUUGACCACCCUUUCCCAGAAAAUUCAUGAAUAAUCCACUCCUUGUUUAACAUAUAAUCAAGAAAUGACCAAAAUAAGCAUAAGAAUAUUCAGCUGAGCAGCCCAGCCCUCCGCACUGCCUCUGGAGUAGCCAUUCUUUAUUCCUUUACUCUAUUAAUAAACUUCUCACUUGAC
rnacentral:lncRNA from 1 species